AAGCCCAAAAGUAUAUAUACACGACUUGACAGUUAGGGCCAUAACAUCUAAAAGAUAAGACACUAUCAUGCUUAACUUUACAUUGGUAUGAAAAGCCUCUAAAAUAUACAUAGUCUUGGUUAAGGUCGGGACAAACUCCGGCCUUACUCUUAACUACAGCACCAUGCGAAAACAUAUAUAACAGACUUGAAAAGUCUCGAAUCAAUCUGGAGCUCACCAAUAAC
rnacentral:lncRNA from 1 species